rnacentral:misc_RNA from 1 species
GAUGAAGAACGUAGUGAAAUGCGAUAAGUAAUGUGAAUUGCAGAAUUCAGUGAAUCAUCGAAUCUUUGAACGCACCUUGCACUCCUUGGUAUUCCGAGGAGUACGCCUGUUCGAGUGUUAUGAAGCUCUCAAAACGCAAUUGGCUUAAAACCUGAUUGUUGUUUUGGAUUUGAACUUUGCCGUGUUAUAACGGCUGGUUUUAAAAGUAUUAGCUGGUACUAGAACGAAUUGGUUCUACUCAACGUGAUAAUUAUCUGAUCGUUGAGGACAUUCCUUUCACGAGGAAUGGCCAUAGUAAAUUCAAUGGACUGCUUCUAAUCUGGCUUUAAUUCUUUAUUGGAUUAACCACUUUUCAAAUCUGACCUCGAAUCAGGUGGGACUACCCGCUGAACUUAAGCAUAUCAAUAAGCGAGGA